UAUUUCUUACAGUGAUUGCAUCAGUGUGCAUUUGUUUUUCAAUCUAGCAGUUGAACUAGUGAAGUCACUGUGACAUUUAUCAAGCUUCUUUUCUCCACUCUGCUCAGGCUUUUGGAUUUCAGCUCUACUGAGUGGCAGACAUCUGAAUAAUUUCUUUUUGGAUAAGUGGGAAAAGGGUUGAGGAAUUCACUUUUUACUUUGUCACCCUUUGGCCCUAGGUACACUUUCAAAGGAUGGAAGUGUUGAGACUGGCUAUUGGUUAUUAAUCUGUUCAUGUAUAUCAGCAGCAAGAUUGUUUUCAUCCAUUUUGAGUUAAUGCAAGUGUCUGGCAAAGCACUGACCUUUCCCCUAAAGUGACCUGCUUCAAGGAAGAUAAAUUACCAUGGAGAGCCAAAGUUUCAUGAGCUGUGAUAGAGUUGUCUCUGGAGGUGAGGAUCCAACAGGGUGAGCGAGAUCACCAGGCAGCUUUAGGUUACCAGGAGAUGCUACCAAAACCAAACACAAACCAGGACAACGCUGGCAGAAAAAAUAAGAUGGUACGUGCUACACCAAAGCACCUCCACAGCUUUGAUGUGUGUCUCGUUCUGCAAGGACUGCCAGGCUGCAGAUCACUGAGCAAGACAGCCUGCCUUCAGGGAGCGAGCUCACCCAGAUCUCACCCUGCACAGCUUUCUCAUGCCUCCAGAAGAACACACUCCUUGGCUAAAUGUUGUCCUUUAAAAACUCAGCAGAUAGGUAAAUAUACGUAUAUAUAUUCCCGUAUCACAAAAUUGUGAUGUUUCUAAGUAAAAUAAAUUGUUGUCCUGCAUAAAGUCA
rnacentral:lncRNA from 1 species